UACGGAGGGAGCUAGCGUUGUUCGGAAUUACUGGGCGUAAAGCGCACGUAGGCGGCUUUGUAAGUUAGAGGUGAAAGCCCGGGGCUCAACUCCGGAACUGCCUUUAAGACUGCAUCGCUUGAAUCCAGGAGAGGUGAGUGGAAUUCCGAGUGUAGAGGUGAAAUUCGUAGAUAUUCGGAAGAACACCAGUGGCGAAGGACGGCUCACUGG
rnacentral:rRNA from 1 species